AUGACCUUCAUCAUCAUCUUCAUCUGGACUCUCACAGCGUUUGCUCAAGAGUGUAGAGGACAGAUCAGCGUCACUCAGAGUCCCUCAACGACAGCAGCUCAACCAGGAGAAACAGUGAAGAUCAGCUGUAGAACCAGCACAGAUGUGUACAGGAAUCUCUUUGGGACACACUUUCUUAGCUGGUACUUACAGAAACCUGGAGAAGCUCCUAAACUCCUGAUUUAUGAAGCAAGCACCCUCCAGUCAGGAACUCCAUCUAGAUUCAGUGGCAGUGGAUCUAACAGUGAUUUCACUCUGACCAUCAGUGGAGUCCAGACUGAAGAUGCUGGACAUUAUUACUGUCAGAGUUUCCACUGGCCGGGUAGCACUAGGCUGUUCACACAACGAAGCGCUCGCCGGCUUCCCAGCGAAGGAGCCACUGGGUCGAAGGACCAAGGAGGAGUCCAGGGCUUGGAGGCUGGAGGCAGGGAUGGGGCCUUAAUCGCCAAGGUGGAGCUGGAGACUGGCAGUCCAGCGGCAAACCAUCCAACCAGAUGGCGCGGACUGAGGAUACCCACGACACACGGUGUUGCACACCUGGUCAGUCGCGCUCUCGAGGUUCUGCACCCUGUCGGUGAUUGGCUCGGGCUCUGCGGUGGGCUCUGGCUCCGUGUGGUUUGA